GAGAUUGAUUCCUGUCUAGCCUCAAGGCUCCGUCCUGAAAGCCACGCUUGGGAUCUUCAGGUAACAGAAUAUUGGCGUGUAGCACUCCUCAAAACAUAGAAAGCAGAAACAAAUCAAUUCUGCCUGGAGGACCUCCCCGAUCUCAACACCCAGUGGUUUUGACAGAAUUGAUAUAGAAAUAGAAGCUUCAAGCAACCUUACGAUGGAGGCAGAAGAAGGAUUCUAUGGUUGGAAACCUGCCAGACUCACAGGCUAUGGAGAAGAAAGGCUAAAUCCACCAGACUGUUGGAUGCACCUAAAAGAAAUUGCCCUCCGUGGCUCGGUUUCUUAUUAAUAUACUCAUAGAAAUGCACAAGAACUGAAAGCUCAAUAGGGAAACCAAAAAAUAAAAAUUUUUA
rnacentral:lncRNA from 1 species